rnacentral:rRNA from 1 species
GACGAACGCUGGCGGCGUGCUUAACACAUGCAAGUCGAACGGAAAGGCCCUGCCUUUGUGGGGUGCUCGAGUGGCGAACGGGUGAGUAACACGUGAGUAACCUGCCCUUGACUUUGGGAUAACUUCAGGAAACUGGGGCUAAUACCGGAUAGGAGCUCCUGCUGCAUGGUGGGGGUUGGAAAGUUUCGGCGGUUGGGGAUGGACUCGCGGCUUAUCAGUUUGUUGGUGGGGUAGUGGCUUACCAAGGCUUUGACGGGUCGCCGGCCUGAGAGCGUGACCGGCCACCUUGGGACUGAGAUACGGCCCAGACUCCUACGGGAGGCAGCAGUGGGGAAUAUGGCACAAUGGGCGGAAGCCUGAUGCGGCAACGCCGCGUGCGGGAUGACGGCCUUCGGGUUGUAAACCGCUUUCGCCUGUGACGAAGCGUGAGUGACGGUAAUGGGUAAAGAAGCACCGGCUAACUACGUG